rnacentral:lncRNA from 1 species
UGUUAAUACUUUUAGGGUGCGUUUGAUUCGAGUUUUCCUGGCAGGAUUACAGGCAAUCCUGCCAGGAUAACUGUGUUUGGUUAAUCUGCUAUGUAAUCUAGUCGUUAAUGUAGCAUUACAAAUCGAGCAGGAUUAUAUCGAAAAUAUUAACAGGAGGAGGGUCGAGUAUCUUGCAUUAUUGAAACCCGUUAAUACUAUAUAUUAUGUAAAAUGAUAAUUUUACCCUCCAACAAUCCCAAAUCUAAUUAACAGCAUUAUUUUCAUCUUUCUCUCUCCUUCCCCCCGGCCCUCUCUAUCGCACGCCACUUUCUCUCGCUCUCUCUCGACGUCUCUCUCUCUCUCUCUCGCACGAACACCUAUCAUCUUCUAUUGCGUCAUCCUCCCAGGUAAUCAUCAUGAUCUCCUUACCUUCAUUCGUCAUUUCCGCAAAAAAUAAUAUUCAAAUGACCACAACAAGGGCAAUUUUGAAAAAAAUUAUACUUUUAUGUCAGGAUUACUAAAUUUUAUAAACUAAACCAAACGUAUUAAUGCUAUAAACACUGUAAUUUAGUAUUACAUUACUGCAUUAAACCAAACGCGCUAAUACAACAUCAGUAGUAAUCUCACGCCGAAAUCCAAGAUACCUGGAUAUGUCGAGAUACUUUGUAAUAUUACAUAACUCGAACCAAACGGGCCCUUACCAACAUUGGUAUAUGCAGCAUUUAGUGUCAUAUGCUGCUAAAACUUUUAGCAGCAUUUCUUGAUCAUUUAACAGUAUAAAUAAAUGCCACUAAUGACUAAUUUUCUAGUAAUGAAUUCUAAUCCAUAAAUCUCACCUUAGCCACCAUAGUCA